GACGAACGCUGACGGCGUGCUUAACACAUGCAAGUCGAAGGGAGUGGAGCAAGGGUGAGUAACACGUGAGUAACCUGCUCUUUUCUUUGGGAUAAGUCGGGGAAACUGGGUCUAAUACUGGAUGGGUUAGGAUGGGCUCGCGGCUUAUCAGGUUGGUGGUGGGGUGAUGGCUUACCACGGCUUUGACGGGUAGCCGGCCUGAGAGGGUGAUCGGUCACACUGGGACGGAGGUACGGCCCAGACUCCUACGGGAGGCAGCAGUGGGGGAUAUUGCACAAUGGACGAAAGUCUGAUGCAGCGACGUCGUGUGGGGGAUGAAGGCCUUCGGGUUGUAAACUUCUUUCGCCCGCGGAAUGGUAGUGGGUAAAGAAGCGCCGGCUAACUACGUGCCAGCAGCCGCGGUAAUUC
rnacentral:rRNA from 1 species